CUCAAUGUCUCUCUCUCUCUCUCUCUCUCUCUCCGGUUUCUUAUUCCUCCAUUGCUUACAGCUCUUCCUUUCACAUUUUCCUUUACGUUUCUUUUUUUUUUAUUUCUUCACUUAUUCCUUUUUCUUCGUGCUUUUAACCUCCUUUCACACUGCUCUCUCUCUCUCUCUCUCUCUCUCUCUCUCUCUCUCUCUCUCUCUCUCAGGAAGGGAAGAGAUUGAGGCCAAUUGCAUUACCUGCCUGCCUGCCUGACUUCUUCUCAUCCCUCUUCCUUUGUAAAAUAAGACAGGUAGAUGGGCAGUCACAGGUGUAGUGUUGACAGGUGUGUGUGUGUGUGUUUGCCCUGUCCUUGUAGCACACCUGUAGCACCACUUUUAUUAUAUACUUCCCUUCCUGUUUGUUCCUCCUCCUCCUCCUCCUCUUUCUCCUCUCAAUAUUUUCCUCCUCCUCCUCUUUCUCCUCUCAAUAUUUCCUCCUUCCUCUUUCUCCUCAUCUGCUCACCUCAUUUUCAUGUUUUCUCCUUUUCUUUAGCAACAGAUCUUCCUUUUCCUCUUUUUUUUCUUUUCCUUCUUCCACCUCCUUCCUUAUUUAUCCCUACUCUUUUUCUCCUAUGUAUUGUCUUCUUUUCUAAUUCUCUCUUUUUCCAUUUUCUCUUCCUCUUUCGCUAAUCUUUCUAGUUUCUCUUUAGUUUCUCCUCCUUCCUUCUUUUUCUUCUUCCUCUUUCUCUACUUAAAAAACCACCAUCACCACAUAAUCACUAUCACCGCUUUCAUACUCCUGUCAUGCACCAUCAUUUGUCAUUCAUUAUCUUUCCCUCAUUCCUCCAUUCAUUCAUUCAUCAAGAAAUUUAUUAUAGCUUCUCGUAUUCCUUAAUUAUCUUCCAUUCCUCCCUUCCCUUCCUUUAUUACCUUUAACCUUUCCCCUUCGUUCAUUACAUCUCGUUCCUGUAUUUUCUCUUAGUCCUUACUUUAUUUUUUUCUUCUUCUUCCUCCUUUUAAUAGCAAGUUUUAUUAUAUCUUUUUCUUACAUCUAUUUUCUUCAACAGUUCCUCUUUUCACUAAUGCUAUUUACUCUCUCUCUCUCUCUCUCUCUCUCUCUCUCUCUCUCUCUCUCUCUCUCUCUCUCUCUCUCUCUGCUGCUGCUACAAGAAGAAAGAGACUAGGAAAAGAAAGAAGCAUAAUUUUAUGGUAACUACAUCCGGCUUCUCUCUCUCUCUCUCUCUCUCUCUCUCUCUCUCUCUCUCUCUCUCUCUCUCUCUCUCUCUCUCUUCUGUAGUAAAAUAGGAAAAAAUAGAAGGAAAAGGCAUUAUGGUGUCUACAUUCUCUCUCUCUCUCUCUCUCUCUCUCUCUCUCUCUCUCUCUCUCUCUCUCUCUCUCUCUCUCUCUCUCUCAUUUCCACGAAGAAGUAGGAAAAGACGAACAAUAGAGAAAAAGUAGGAAAAGAUAAGGAAAGAAAAAAGGUAAUAUAAUAUGUCCUCUCUCUCUCUCUCUCUCUCUCUCUCUCUCUCUCUCUCUCUCUCUCUCUGACGCAUCAACACAAGCAACACGUCACAACACCCCAAACGGCGGAGGAGUGUUGUUUAAAAAGAAGACAAAAACAAAUGUGUUGCAACUCCUUUACCAGCUCGACGCAACACAACAGCAACUCAAGUCGUUCACAGGCGCACGAAAAUAAACAAAGACAAACAAACGUAAAAUAAAAGGAGCGGGUUCAAAUACAUACAAAGGCGAGUGAGGGAAUUAAAAUAUAUGCAAAUAAGGAAAGAGGGAGGGAAAAGGAGGAGGAGGAGGAGGAAGGAGGAGACGUUAGGUAAGGGAAUAAAGUAAAUGGUAUAGGGAAGGGGAUUGGAAAAGGAGAGAAAAAGUAAAGGACAAAGUAAAUGGGAAAAGAAAGUUAAUGGAGAGACGUGAAAAAGGAGAAAAAGUAAGGGAAUAAAGUAAGGUAAGGUAAUAAAGUAAAUGGUCUAGGGAAGGGGAGUGGAAAAGGAGAGAAAAGUAAGGGAUAAAGUAACUGGGAAAAAGUAAAUGGAGAGACGAGAAGGGAAGGGAAAAAAAGAGAAAAAUUAAAGUAAGUGGGAAAAAAAAGUAAAUGGAAAGAAGAGAAGGGGAGUGAAAAAGAACAGAAAAAGUAAAGUAAGUUGGAAAAGAAAGUUAAUGGAAAAAAGAGUGAAAAAGGAGAGAAAAGUAAAGGCUAUAGUAAGUGGAAUGAAGAGAAGGUGAAAGAGGAAAGAAAAAGUAAGGGAUAAAGUAAAUGGGAAGAGAACGUAAAUGGAAAGAAAAGAAGGGGGUGAAAAGGGAGUGAAAAAUAAGGGAUAAAGUUAAAGGGAAAAGAACGUAAAUGGAAAGACGAGAAGGGGAGUGAAAAAGAAGAAAAAAAGAAAGGGAUAAAGUAAAUGAGGAAAAAAAGCAAAUGGAAAGAAGAGAUGAAAUAAAAAAAACAUGUAAAGAUUGGGUUGAAAUAAGUGAAGAUAAGUAAAGGAAAGGGAAGAAAAAGAGAAAGGAAUAAUUUAAAGUAGGAAAGAUAUUAGUGCAAAGAAGAAAUAAGGGAAGGGAAAAUUGUAAAAGAAAGAAAGGAAUAUGAAGAAAGAUCAAGGAAAAGGAAGUGAAGGAAGGGAUACAAAUUCGACCUAAGGGAAGUAAUACAUGUUAAUAAAUAAGGGAAGGGAGGGGAAUGAAAGAUAAAAAGAGAAACAAAUGCAAAGUAAGGGAAAAAUUUAAGUAGAGGGAAGUGGAGAAGAACGAAGGAAGGAAAGGUAAAGCAAAAUAAAUAUGCAUGUGAACAGAGGAAGUAGUAAUUGCAAGUAAGAGAAAGAGAAGGAAGAAAAGAGGAUGUGUAAAAAGGUUGUAAAAUAUGCAGGGGAGUAAAGAAGGGGGUAAAUUUAUGUAAAGGAGAGAAAAAGAAGAAAGGAGAAGGAUAAGUAAGAGAAAAUUAAAUAUGCAGGGGAAUGAAAGAAGGAGUUGGUAAAUGUGAGUAAACGAAGGAGGAAGAAGAAAGAAAUGAAUAAGGAAAAAAGUAAAACAGUACAAGGGAGUUAAAGGAAUAAGUAAAUAUAAGUAAACGAAGGAGGAAAAAAAAGAAAUGAAUACCGUAAGGAAAAAAAGUAAAACAGUACAAGGGAGUUAAAGGAAGAAGUAAAUAUAAGUAAACGAAGGGGGAAAAAAUAAAUGAAUAAGGAAAAAAAGUAAAACAGUACAAGGGAGUUAAAGAAAUAAGUAAAUAUAAGUAAACGAAGGAGGAAAAAAAAUGAAUAAGGAAAAAAGUAAAACAGUACGAGGGAGUUAAAGGAAGAAGUAAAUAUAAGUAAACGAAGGAGGAAAAAGAAAGAAGAAUAAGAAAGUAAAAUAAAUAUGCAGGGAAGUUAAGGAAGGAGUAAAUCCAAGUAAACGGAGGAGGAAAAAUAAAGAAAAGAGAAGAAUAUGUAAAAAAAGUAAAAUAAAAAAUGGAGGUUAGUAAAGCAAGGCAAGAAGACUAAAUAAGUGAACGUUAAUAAAUAAAUAGCUUCGGAGAAUUGAGUUAAAAGUUUAUAAAGACUUCAUACACAUUCUUUUAAGAGUUCCAUAACCUUGCGACAUGAACGAAAAGAGAUCCUGUUUAAUAAGUGGCUCCCAUGGCGAUGAUGAUGAUGAUGAUGAUUACUAAAACUAUACUACUACUCCAACUUCUACUACUACUACUACUACUACUACUAAUAAUAAUAAUAAUAACAACGUCAUCUACAUAUUAAUGACCCUCACCUCUCACUCUUUCACUCACUAUGAUAAACAUUUUACGACUUUAAUUAUAGAAUGAAGGUCAAUGUAAAAAAAAAAAAAAAGGAAAAAAAAGUAGGGAAUUCCAAAGUAGAAGGUGAGGCAAUACUCUGUGUGUGUGUGUGUGUGUGUGUGUGUGUGUGUGUGUGUGUGUGUGUGACAUGGUGAAAUAGCAUUGUUAGUGGGCGAAAGGUGAGUGAGGAGGGAAGGGAAGGGAAGGGAAGGGAAGGGAGGGGAGGGAAGGGAACGAGGAAAAGAAGGUCGGGAAGGGUAGGGAAUGAAAGGGAAGGUUAAGGAAAAGAAAGGAAGAGGAGGAAUGAAAAGGAGAGCGAAAAAGGGAAAUGAAAAUAAGGGAUAGGACGUGAAGGGCAGGGAAUGGGAGGGGAACGGUUAGGAAAGGGAAGGGAAAGGAAGAGUGAAGGGGAGGCCAGGGAAGGGAAAUGGUACAGGGAUGGCAAGCGAGGAACAAGGAGGAAAAAUAAAAAAAGAAAGGAAGGUGGGUGGUGAGUGGUGGUGAAUUAAAGUUGUUGUGGUGAUGAAGUGGAGGUGAAAAGUGAUGUGGAGGAGGCCCGCGUCAUGUGUGUGUGUGUGUGUGUGUGUGUGUGUGUGUGUGUGUGUAGAAACUUACUCAACCAUUCACUGAUAAUGAGGAGGAUAAACAUGAUAGUAGUGUGAUGAAAGAGGAUGAUGGAGGAGGAGGAGGAGGAGGAGGAGGGAAGUGAAAAAUGAGAAUGAGGAUGAAGAGAAAAAUGAUAAGUAGGAGAAAGAGACGGAAGAGAAGAUGAGGAGAGAGAUAAGAAGCAGGAUGAGGAAGAGAAGGAGGAGAAGGGACGUGAAAAAUAAAUAUGAGGAGAAAGAGGACGAAUAUAAAAGUAAGAGAGAGGGAAGAGAUAAAGAGAUAUAAGAAGCAGGAUGAUGAUGAUGAUGAGGAGGAGGAGGAGGAGAUAGAAGGUGAGGUAGGUAACGAACAUUGCUCACCACCACCACCACCUCCUCCACCCACCACCCACUCCACCCCUCCACCCCCACCUAUCAUCACCAAAUAACAGGUUCUUGUCUAGCUACUCAUGCUAUGCCCCCCAGAACAUUUCCCCCCCCCCCCCUCAGUAACCUUCUCCCCCUUCGCCUUACCAUCUCUCCCCCACCCACACCACAAGCCUGAUCUACCCUCCUUCACCCUCUUAUCUUCCCUCCACGUCAUCUUACCUAUCAUCUUCCCCCCUAUACCACCUCCUCUUUUCACCCUUUCCCUUCAUCUCUUCUCCCCCUCUAUCAUCUUUUCCAUUCUCUCCCUUCGUCUCCCUCUACUUUCUAUUCCCUCUCUUCAUAUCUUUUCUCCUUCCCCUCCAUCAUCUUCCUCUCCACCUCUCUUCUCCCUCUCCCUUCCUCUCCUUUCUCCUCCACCUCCACUAUCGCUAACCUACCCUCUUCCCUCACCUCCAAAUACCCUCCACCCAUCCACCUCUUCUUUCUCCUCCUCCUCCUCCUCCCACCAACGCUCCUCUUCCACCUCCACUAUCCAUUACCUCUCCUCCACCUUUCUCCUCUCACUUGCAUUCACCAACAGCCCGAGGAAACACACACACACACACACACACACACACACACACACACACACACACACACACACACACACACACACACCCUACGACCUACACACACGCAUCCCACGCCUUCCAUUCAUUCACAAACUUACACAGCCAUACACGAGAGAGAGAGAGAGAGAGAGAGAGAGAGAGAGAGAGAGAGAGAGAGAGAGAGAGAGAGAGAGAGUUUCUGUGUGACGUUCGUGGUGGUGGUGAAAAGCUACUGCGAAGGACAGGGAGGAGGGAAGGAAGGAGGAAUGGAGUGGAGGGAAGUGGAGGGAAGCGGGAGGAGGGACCGACGUUAGCGCAUGACAGUAAGGCACUUGCUAGCUCUCCUCCUCCUCCUCCUUCUCCACCUCUCGUUCUCUUUCUCUUCCACCUCCCUCUCUCCUGCUCUCUUUUCUCUCUUUCUCUCCCUCAUACUAACUCGAGAGAGAGAGAGAGAGAGAGAGAGAGAGAGAGAGAGAGAGAGAGAGAGAGAGAGAGAGAGAGAGAGAGAGAGAGAGAGGAAAAAAGUUACCUUGAUAAAAAAAAAACAGACCAAAAAAUAAAUAAAUAAAAGGAAGCAUUGAACUUUAAACAAAUACACACCACAAAAAAACGUGACUUUCACUCACGCAAAACCGAAUAAACAAAUGAAAAAAAACUAUAACAAACAAAAGAGAAAAAAAUGGCGCAACAGAGGGAGGGAAACAAAACAUGGAGAAUAGGUGUAUAUGUUAAAGAGGAGGAGGAGGAGGAGGAGGAGGAGGAGGAGGAGGAGUUGUCGCCCGUAAGAAGCAAAUCUCUAACACUGCACUGCACCAGAACCAUCCCGUAACAGGCACAAGAGAGAGAGGGGGAGAGAGAGAGAGGGGGAGGGGGGGGGAUUACACUAUCUAUCCUUCCUUCCUUCCACGAAUUAAGCCAAUGAGAGAGAGGAAGAGGAUGAGAAAUGAGGUUGUGGAACAGUAAUAAAACUAGGAAGGAGGAGGAGGAAGAGUAACAGGGAGAGGAAGAGGAGGAAGGUGGAAGAGGAGGACGGAGAAUCGUGAUGUGGUUUCAAAACAUUUAAAUACAAAUGUAAGAAAAAACAAGAGAGAGAGAGAGAGAGAGAGAGAGAGAGAGAGAGAGAGAGAGAGAGAGAUUCAAUGAGUGACACUGUCGCUCCCUUGACAGCAAACUGGGUGGAAGAGGAGGAGGAGGAGGAGGAGGAGGAGGAGAAGGUAGAACUUUCAAAACUGGCCAAGCUCCUCCACUUACACACACACACACACACGUAGGCCACUUUUAAUUGUGUGUGUGUGUGUGUGUGUGUGUGUGUGUGUGUGUGUGUGUAGUGGGGCAAGUAGUACCAGGAAAAAUCUUGUAGUGGUGGAGGUGGUGGUGGUGGUUGGAUAACUCCUUGCACCACCACCCACCACCACUACCACCAUCCACCAUCUUUCAUAUGAGACACCACCACUUCAUCACCACCACCACCACUGUCACCACAAUUAAUGAACUCUCAACACCCUCUUCACCGCCAUUACACACCAUGCACCACCUCUGACUAAGUGCCCCCUCUUGCUUCAUCACCACUAUCACAAACACCAACCAUUACCAUAAUCAUCACCACCUCAACAACUGAUAAAACUACUACCUCUCUCACUACCACCAUCACCACCACAACCAUCAUCAUCACCAACACCACUAUUGUCAGAAAAGCAUCACUAUUUUCCGUGAAUCCCACUGUUUCAACACCACCACCACCUCCACCAAUUGAAGUACCUCCUCUUCCUCCAUCACCACCGUAUCCGCCACUCUCACCACCACCACCAC